rnacentral:rRNA from 1 species
AACGAACGCUGGCGGCAUGCCUAACACAUGCAAGUCGGACGAAGCCUUCGGGCUUAGUGGCGCACGGGUGCGUAACGCGUGGGAAUCUGCCCUUUGGUUCGGAAUAACAGUUGGAGACGACUGCUAAUACCGGAUGAUGACGAAAGUCCAAAGAUUUAUCGCCAGAGGAUGAGCCCGCGUAGGAUUAGCUAGUUGGUGUGGUAAAGGCGCACCAAGGCGACGAUCCUUAGCUGGUCUGAGAGGAUGAUCAGCCACACUGGGACUGAGACACGGCCCAGACUCCUACGGGAGGCAGCAGUGGGGAAUAUUGGACAAUGGGCGAAAGCCUGAUCCAGCAAUGCCGCGUGAGUGAUGAAGGCCCUAGGGUUGUAAAGCUCUUUUACCCGGGAUGAUAAUGACAGUACCGGGAGAAUAAGCCCCGGCUAACUCCGUGCCAGCAGCCGCAGUAA